CGCGGCCUAUCAGCUUGUUGGUGAGGUAACGGCUCACCAAGGCAUCGACGGGUAGCUGGUCUGAGAGGAUGAUCAGCCACACUGGGACUGAGACACGGCCCAGGCUCCUACGGGAGGCAGCAGUGGGGAAUAUUGCACAAUGGGCGCAAGCCUGAUGCAGCGACGCCGCGUGAGGGAUGACGGCCUUCGGGUUGUAAACCUCUUUCAGCACAGACGAAGCGCAAGUGACGGUAUGUGCAGAAGAAGGACCGGCCAACUACGUGCCAGCAGCCGCGGUAAUACGUAGGGUCCGAGCGUUGUCCGGAAUUACUGGGCGUAAAGAGCUCGUAGGCGGUUCAGUUAGUCGGGUGUGAAAACUCUGGGCUCAACCCAGAGACGCCACUCGAUACUGCUGUGACUAGAGUGCGGUUGGGGAGCGGGGAAUUCCUAGUGUAGCGGUGAAAUGCGCAGAUAUCAGGAGGAACACCAGUGGCGAAGGCGCCGCUCUGGGCCGUAACUGACGCUGAGGAGCGAAAGCGUGGGUAGCAAACAGGAUUAGAUACCCUGGUAGUCCACGCCGUAAACGUUGGGCACUAGGUGUGGGUCUCAACCAACGAGAUCCGCGCCGUCGCUAACGCAUUAAGUGCCCCGCCUGGGGAGUACGG
rnacentral:rRNA from 1 species